GACGAACGCUGGCGGCGUGCUUAACACAUGCAAGUCGAACGGAAAGGCCUUUUCGGAGGUACUCGAGUGGCUAACGGGUGAGUAACACGUGGGUGAUCUGCCCUGCACUCUGGGAUAAGCCUGGGCAACUGGGUCUAAUACCGGAUAGGACCGCACUUUAGCGUGUGUGGUGGAAAGUGUUUUCGGUGUAGGAUGAGCCCGCGGCCUAUCAGCUUGUUGGUGGGGUAAUGGCCUACCAAGGCGGCGACGGGUAGCCGGACUGAGAGGUUGGUCGGCCACAGUGGGGAUGGGAUACGGCCCAGACUCCUACGGGGGGCAGCAGUUGGGAAUAUUGCACAAUGGGCGGAAGCCUGAUGCAGCGACGGCGGGUUGGGGAUGACGGCCUUCGGGUUGUAAACUCCUUUCGCCAGGGACGAAGCGUUGUGUGACGGUAACUGGUGAAGAAGCACCGGCUAACUACGUG
rnacentral:rRNA from 1 species